GGCGGACGGGUUGAGUAACGCGUGGGAAUCUACCCAGUAGUGGGGGACAACUACCGGAAACGGUAGCUAAUACCGCAUACGCCCUAUGGGGGAAAGGCUUCGGCCGCUAUUGGAUGAGCCCGCGUCAGAUUAGCUAGUUGGUAGGGUAAAGGCCUACCAAGGCAACGAUCUGUAGCUGGUCUGAGAGGACGAACAGCCACACUGGGACUGAGACACGGCCCAGACUCCUACGGGAGGCAGCAGUGGGGAAUAUUGGACAAUGGGCGAAAGCCUGAUCCAGCAAUGCCGCGUGUGUGAAGAAGGCCUGCGGGUUGUAAAGCACUUUCAGUUGGGAAGAUGAUGACGUUACCAACAGAAGAAGCACCGGCUAAAUCCGUGCCAGCAGCCGCGGUAAUACGGAUGGUGCGAGCGUUAAUCGGAAUUACUGGGCGUAAAGCGCGC
rnacentral:rRNA from 1 species